GAUGAACGCUGGCGGCGUGCCUAAUACAUGCAAGUAGAGCGCUGAAGGAGGAGCUUGCUCUUCUGGAUGAGUUGCGAACGGGUGAGUAACGCGUAGGUAACCUGCCUGGUAGCGGGGGAUAACUAUUGGAAACGAUAGCUAAUACCGCAUGACAACAGUUAUUGCAUGAUAACUGUUUAAAAGGGGCAACUGCUCCACUACCAGAUGGACCUGCGUUGUAUUAGCUAGUUGGUGAGGUAACGGCUCACCAAGGCGACGAUACAUAGCCGACCUGAGAGGGGGAUCGGCCACACUGGGACUGAGACACGGCCCAGACUCCUACGGGAGGCAGCAGUAGGGAAUCUUCGGCAAUGGACGGAAGUCUGACCGAGCAACGCCGCGUGAGUGAAGAAGGUUUUCGGAUCGUAAAGCUCUGUUGUAAGAGAAGAACGAGUGUGAGAGUGGAAAGUUCACACUGUGACGGUAUCUUACCAGAAAGGGACGGCUAACUACGUG
rnacentral:rRNA from 1 species